AACGAACGCUGGCGGCAUGCCUAACACAUGCAAGUCGAACGAAGUCUUCGGACUUAGUGGCGCACGGGUGCGUAACGCGUGGGAAUCUGCCCUUGGGUACGGAAUAACUCAGAGAAAUUUGUGCUAAUACCGUAUAAUGUCUUCGGACCAAAGAUUUAUCGCCCAAGGAUGAGCCCGCGUAAGAUUAGCUAGUUGGUGGGGUAAAAGCCUACCAAGGCGACGAUCUUUAGCUGGUCUGAGAGGAUGAUCAGCCACACUGGGACUGAGACACGGCCCAGACUCCUACGGGAGGCAGCAGUGGGGAAUAUUGGACAAUGGGCGAAAGCCUGAUCCAGCAAUGCCGCGUGAGUGAUGAAGGCCUUAGGGUUGUAAAGCUCUUUUACCCGGGAUGAUAAUGACAGUACCGGGAGAAUAAGCUCCGGCUAACUCCGUGCCAGCAGCCGCGGUAAU
rnacentral:rRNA from 1 species